rnacentral:lncRNA from 1 species
AACUAGAUUAGUUUAACAUGUGAAAUGUCCGUAAAGUAUCAUCAUAUGAUUGGCUUUUAGGGCACAUUUCCAACAAUCUCCCACUUGCACUAGAGCCAAUCAGCUUGGUCAUCAGUGAUGAUACCUCUUCUGUAGUCAUUUCAUAAAUGGCUGAGUAGUAGGCCUAGUCAAUGGAUAUCUAUAUGUUAUCCAUAGAAGCAACGUUGAGAAUAACGACGUCACCAUUAUACAUGAUUCUCAAUCAUGUGGUUCAGUCUCUCAUUUGUGUUCGGAUCUUGAUGAGACCUUGAUUCCCAGGCUUGAGCUAUCGCCCCAUUAGUGUCAUACACUUUCUAGUUAGAACCGAAUAGAGAGUUCAUAAAUGAACUUUCCCAUCCAAACAACAUUGUUGUAAACUUCUAUAUGGCAAUAUAUCUUGCAUUCAUAAUGGAACACAUUAAAGUCAUUACUUUAAUGUUUCCAUCCAAAUAUCUCUUUAGUCAUAAUAAAGAGAUAUU